rnacentral:rRNA from 1 species
GUCCUUUUGAUCAUUAUUUAAGGUCUUAUCUGCCCACUGAUAUUUGAAGGGCCGCAGUAUUUUGACUGUGCAAAGGUAGCAUAAUAAUUAGUUUCUUAAUUGGGAGCUGGUAUGAAUGAUAGGACGAGAAAAUUACUGUCUUUACCUAAAUUUUAUUGAAUUUAACUUUUUAGUUAAAAGGCUUAAUUGUUUAUAAAAGACGAGAAGACCCUAUAGAGUUUUAUAAAAUUAAUUUAUUUAAUUUUAGGAAUAAAAGAUUUUUAGAUUAAUUUUUAUUUUAUUGGGGUGAUUAGAAAAUUGUUAAAACUUUUCUUUUUUUAAUUCAUUUAUUUAUGAUUUCUUGAUCCUGAAUUUCUGAUUAUAAGAUUAAAUUACCUUAGGGAUAACAGCGUAAUUCUUUUUGAGAGUUCUUAUCGAAGAAAGAGUUUGCGA